rnacentral:rRNA from 1 species
UGGGGAAUUUUGGACAAUGGGCGCAAGCCUGAUCCAGCCAUGCCGCGUGAGUGAAGAAGGCCUUCGGGUUGUAAAGCUCUUUCGGCGGGGACGAAACGGUUCGUGACAACACCACGGACUAAUGACGGUACCCGCAUAAGAAGCACCGGCUAACUACGUGCCAGCAGCCGCGGUAAUACGUAGGGUGCAAGCGUUAAUCGGAAUUACUGGGCGUAAAGCGUGCGCAGGCGGUUUUGUAAGUCUGAUGUGAAAUCCCCGGGCUCAACCUGGGAAUUGCAUUGGAGACUGCAAGGCUAGAAUCUGGCAGAGGGGGGUAGAAUUCCACGUGUAGCAGUGAAAUGCGUAGAUAUGUGGAGGAACACCGAUGGCGAAGGCAGCCCCCUGGGUCAAGAUUGACGCUCAUGCACGAAAGCGUGGGGAGCAAACAGGAUUAGAUACCCCGGUAGUCCCUGAGCGGGCUGGCAAGGCGCAU